GAUGAACGCUGGCGGCGUGCCUAAUACAUGCAAGUCGAGCGAACGGACGAGAAGCUUGCUUCUCUGAUGUUAGCGGCGGACGGGUGAGUACACGUGGAUAACCUACCUAUAAGACUGGGAUAACUUCGGGAAACCGUAGCUAAUACCGGAUAAUAUUUUGAACCGCAUGGUUCAAAAGUGAAAGACGGUCUUGCUGUCACUUAUAGAUGGAUCCGCGCUGCAUUAGCUAGUUGGUAAGGUAACGGCUUACCAAGGCAACGAUGCAUAGCCGACCUGAGAGGGUGAUCGGCCACACUGGAACUGAGACACGGUCCAGACUCCUACGGGAGGCAGCAGUAGGGAAUCUUCCGCAAUGGGCGAAAGCCUGACGGAGCAACGCCGCGUGAGUGAUGAAGGUCUUCGGAUCGUAAAACUCUGUUAUUAGGGAAGAACAUAUGUGUAAGUAACUGUGCACAUCUUGACGGUACCUAAUCAGAAAGCCACGGCUAACUACGUG
rnacentral:rRNA from 1 species